AUUGAACGCUGGCGGCAGGCCUAACACAUGCAAGUCGAACGAGUGGCGCACGGGUGAGUAAUGUCUGUGAAACUGCCCGAUGUAGGGGGAUAACUACUGGAAACGGUAGCUAAUACCGCAUACCAUCUGAUGUGCCCAGAUGGGAUUAGCUUGUAGGUGAGGUAACGGCUCACCUAGGCGCCGAUGCCUAGCUGGUCUGAGAGGAUGACCAGCCACACUGGAACUGAGACACGGUCCAGACUCCUACGGUAGGCAGCAGUGGGGAAUCUUGCACAAUGGGCGCAAGCCUGAUGCAGCCAUGCCGCGUGUAUGAAGAAGGCCGUCGGGUUGUAAAGUACUGUCAGCGGGGAGGCGUUACCCGCAGAAGAAGCACCGGCUAACUCCGUGCCAGCCGCCGCGGUAAUAC
rnacentral:rRNA from 1 species